rnacentral:rRNA from 1 species
CCUCGAGCGUUAGGCGGAAUCACUGGGCUUAAAGCGUGUGUAGGUGGAUGCCUAAGUACCUUGUGAAAUCCCACGGCUUAACCGUGGAACUGCUGGGUAUACUGGGCGUCUUGAGCCACUCAGGGGCUACCGGAACAAACGGUGGAGCGGUGAAAUGCGUAGAUAUCGUUUGGAACGCCAAUGGUGAAAACAGGUAGCUGGGGGUGUGCUGACACUGAGACACGAAAGCCAGGGGAGCAAACGGG